rnacentral:snRNA from 11 species
AUGCUUUNGGGGAGUGGGGGGAGUGAUACACACCAUGACCGAGAUCCCAUGGGCCAUUGCACUCCAGAUGUGCUGACCCUGUAAUUUCCUCCAAUGUGGGAAACUUGAAUACAUAAUUUUUGAUAAUGGGGAACUGUUUUUGCAGACCCUCU